rnacentral:rRNA from 1 species
GAUGAACGCUAGCGGCAGGCUUAAUACAUGCAAGUCGUGGGGCAGCGCAGUGUAGCAAUACAUGGGCGGCGACCGACAAACGGGUGCGGAACACGUACACAACCUUCCUUCAAAUGGGGAAUAGCCCAGGGAAACUUGGAUUAAUACCCCGUAACAUUAUGAAGUGGCAUCACUUUAUAAUUAUAGCUCCGGCGUUUGGAGAUGGGUGUGCGGCUGAUUAGGUAGUUGGCGGGGAACGGCCCACCAAGCCUUCGAUCAGUAACUGGUGUGAGAGCACGACCAGUCACACGGGCACUGAGACACGGGCCCGACUCCUACGGGAGGCAGCAGUAAGGAAUAUUGGGCAAUGGACGCAAGUCUGACCCAG